rnacentral:rRNA from 1 species
GUCUACGGCCAUACCACCUGAAUGUUCUUAAUCUCAUUUGGUCUCGGAAGCUAAGCAAGGUCAGGAAUGGUUUGUACUCAUAUGGGAGAAAGAGUUUCAAAGGAUACUGCUCAGAGACCAAGAGUUUGGAGACA